AACCACCACGCUGCAUUUUGGUCCGACUCUCCUUCAACAGACGAACGCCGUUACAGGCAUUCCCUCCAGUUAGGACGGACCAUGGAGGAGAAAACAACACUGUCUGCUUGUUGAAUACUACUUCUACAAACGAGGCUACACUUGUGGCAGCACCUAUUCCUGUGCCCCCUCCCAUCUUCUGCACCACUUCUUGUGGCCUCCCUCCACCUAUACCACAUCCUGUGGCCUCCCCUCCACCAUUAUCAUCCAUCUUCACCACACUCUUCUGUUGAUGUUGGUGAUGACAGUGAUAUUGACCUCCAAACACUGUUGAAGUUAAUGAGAUGCCAACCAAAUUAACGUGAUGAGGGACAACAUUUAUGAUUGUGCAAUGAGAGGCUUUAAGAGAGUCCGCUUUAAUCCGGAGGCAAAAAUAGGGGAGACCAUAUGCUGGUGCGGUUGGCCCUGGGUUCCUCCUAAUGCAAGACAAUGCUAGACCUCAUGUGGC